rnacentral:rRNA from 1 species
GACGAACGCUGGCGGCGUGCUUAACACAUGCAAGUCGAACGGAAAGGCCCCUUUGGGGGUACUCGAGUGGCGCACGGGUGAGUAACACGUGAGUAACCUGCCCUUGACUUCGGGAUAACUUCAGGAAACUGGGGCUAAUACCGGAUAGGAAUCCUUGCUGCAUGGUGGGGGUUGGAAAGCUUCGGCGGUUUUGGAUGGACUCGCGGCUUAUCAGCUUGUUGGUGGGGUAGUGGCUUACCAAGGCUUUGACGGGUAGCCGGCCUGAGAGGGCGACCGGCCACAUUGGGACUGAGAUACGGCCCAGACUCCUACGGGAGGCAGCAGUGGGGAAUAUUGCACAAUGGGCGGAAGCCUGAUGCAGCAACGCCGCGUGCGGGAUGACGGCCUUCGGGUUGUAAACCGCUUUCAGCAGGGGCGAAGCUUGUGGUGACGGUACCUGCAGAAGUAGCACCGGCUAACUACGUG